AGAGAGAGAGAGAGCAGAGAGAUUCUUAUGACAAAGACCCACACCACUCUAACUCCAAUGUCUCAACCACAAAAAUUCAACAAAAAAAAAAUCACGCAGCUCUCAAGCAUAUCAGCCAAGGGAGAGAGAUCAGGGGCCACGAGGUUUGAAGAAACAGAGGCACCCCUGAAACUUGUCUGGUGGUAUCAUUCCCCCUCCUUUGCUUGUGUCUACUGCCUCUAGUAGCUUCACUACCUCCUCCAUCUCCGGACGCCUGUCUGGAUUCGGGUCCCAGCAUCUCUUCAUUAUGUUUGCCACCGACUGUGGGCAGCAUUUCGGAAUCUCUGGUCUCAGAUUCUGUGAUCAACCAAGCAAGAGAGAGAGGAUCACAUUUUCUGAUUAAAAACCCUUUAAUAGGAGAGACUGUAAAGAGAGAGAGACCUUAUGAACAACGGCAUGAGAGAUCUCAGCAAAACUAGUGUCAGCGUAGGGCAUGUCGCAGCAGUAUAUUUCCCAGAGGCAUACACCAAAACUAUACACAUCGCAUUUCCUGUUGUAAGCCUUUCCUUCCAGAACCUAUCCACCACCCCCAAAAACUUACGAUAUUUAUUUUCACAAUUACGAAACACAAAAAGGAUGUAAUAAUACAAAAAAUACCUCAGGUCCCAUGUAUCCAAGAGUUCCAGUUUCACCAGUCAUGUCUUGAGGGUUCUGAGCUUCGACUCUAGCGACUCCGAAAUCAGCAAUCUUGAGCGUCUUGUUAGUUUCCAGCAACAUGUUCUCUGACUUCACGUCCCGAUGCACAAUCGCCUUGGAGUGGAGGUAACUCAGCCUAAGACAGAAAAAAGAUAGGCGUCUUGUUAUCAAAUAAAAGGAUGCAAUCUCUCAUAUAUAUACUAUAUAAUCCCAAAAUCAGGGAAUAGAAAAAAAGGCAGAGAGUGGUUAGUUACCCUCUAGCGAGAUCCAAAGCAAGUUGAAUGACAUCCUUGAUGGGGAGUUUGCUCCUAUAUUUCUUGAUGAGGAACUUCUUGAGGGUGCCUCCAGCGACAUACUCAACGACAACACAACAGGCCUUGGCAGGAUGUGCUCCACCAGAAUCACUACCAGAAGGGAUCUUCAGAUCAGAGGUCCCCAUGGAUGCUCCUAUAAACUGCAAAGGAAAUUUUGAAAUUAAAGUCAAAGCUUGUUCUACUACUAGUACUAAUGGUUGUGAAAGUCUCGAGUAGCAACCUUGGUAACGUUGGGAUGAUCGAGUUUCUGCCAGACGGCUACCUCUUGCUCGAAGGAAAUGCGCAGAUCAUCUGCUGUUGAGAGACCAUCUUCUCCCCAAUCUAACACCUUCACUGGUCACACACGAAAUGAAAUGAAAUGAAAUCGUAUCAAUUUCUAUUACAAAGAAUAAAAAAAAAGAACAUUUGAGUACAACGGACCAGCGACUUGUUGACCGGCGUAGACACCGCGGUAGACAGUGCCGUAAGUGCCGCGAGCGAGGACGUGAUUCAUAUCGAGUUUGGAGAGGUCGAUCUCCCAUUCCUGCAUCGGAGUCUUCCUUGUAGCGGAGGAGGAGCCUUGACCCAUAUGCAAAUCCCAUUUGCUGAAAUCAACAGUAUCUGCCCUGAAGUAUUGACCUCCUCCUCCUCCUACUGCUCCAGCGCUCCUGCUCCCGACUCCCCCUAAUUUGGAGUCGGAUCCGAUUUCCACCGCCUCUCCGCCUCCGGACGCCAUUUAUUUCUCUCUGGCGACUAGGAGACCAGCAGAUGAUCAAUCGAAAAGGGAGGGAGGGAGGGAGUUGUGGAGCAAGGCUAGGGUUUUCGAAUUCACGAGUAAUAUAUGUUAUGUGGUGGAGAGGCACAAGACAAGUUCCCAAGGGACAAGAAGCCACGAGACUUUAGAAAUAAGAAGAAGAAAUAGAUUGAUUGUGAUCUCCACACACAACGCAAAGAAGAAGAAGAAGAAGAAGACAAACUCUCAACAAUUUGACCAAAUCAUUUCUCUCUCUCUCUCUUUUUUUACUGUUUCACCGCCCAAGUCUCACUCUCCCUCUCUCUGGGUCCAGAAAAUUGAUUAUUCCUUUCCCCUCUCUCUCCCGCCCAUUAUUAUAUUAGUUUUUAGAUAAAACUUUAAAACUGAUAUAGAUACGUACGUGUCUUUCUUUGUUUUGAUUCUCCUUUUUCUUUGGACACAGCCAAGCCUCCCUCCUCCAACUCUGAGAAACUUUCCUUUUAUUAACACACAACACAACAUGUACACUACUACUAUGUUUUCUUCUCCUUUCCAAACCUAAUUUUGACUUUUCAUCAAAUAGACAGGCGCAGCAGUGAACCCACCCUCCAACGAUUCCUACAACUUGAAGCAACGCACGCCUCUUUCUGCUCCUAAUUAUGAUCAUAUGACCUCCAUUUAUUUAAUUUUUUUUCUUUCUACUUUCAUCUCGAGUCAUUUUCUGGUGAAUUAACAUCCCUACUUGCAAUAUAAAUAUCUUCCACAGAUAGAAACUAACAACGUUUUUGUUUUUUUUACGCUAACCCACCAAAGGGUCCACUCUUUCAGCAACAGCACCAUCUCACGCCUCUCUUUGAUAUUACGUAACUUACUUUCUGUUAAUUAUAUAUUUAUAUACUAUAGUUUUUCUCCAUCAUGUGAAUAUGUUUUGGAAUCUUCGUCCGUCGUUGUUAUUUGGGAGCACAAAGCACCAAAACACAUCCACCACAGCAUAUACCUUUUCUAUUAUUUUUUGAAUCACCUUAUUAAUGGAACCCAACUACACAUUUGCAAAAUAAACGCUUCUGUUUUGAUUAUUUUUUGAAUCGUCUUUUUUUUUUGAAGUUACAAAAUUUCAUAAAUUUUCUGCCCCUAGAUAUUUUUUUGGGCUAUUACUUUACUGAUGCUGCAUUGUUCAGUGGACUUGAUAGGAUGGGCUUUCUUUUUUUUUUUUUGUAUUAUUAUCAGAUAAGAGAUGAUCCACAUUCCCUCAUAAAAUAAAAAGAAAAAAAACAAACAGAGCUUUAUCAUCAGUUUUUAUACACAACAGGACUGUGUGUAAAUACAUAUAUAUAGAGAGAGAGAGAGAGCAGAGAGAUUCUUAUGACAAAGACCCACACCACUCUAACUCCAAUGUCUCAACCACAAAAAUUCAACAAAAAAAAAAUCACGCAGCUCUCAAGCAUAUCAGCCAAGGGAGAGAGAUCAGGGGCCACGAGGUUUGAAGAAACAGAGGCACCCCUGAAACUUGUCUGGUGGUAUCAUUCCCCCUCCUUUGCUUGUGUCUACUGCCUCUAGUAGCUUCACUACCUCCUCCAUCUCCGGACGCCUGUCUGGAUUCGGGUCCCAGCAUCUCUUCAUU
rnacentral:lncRNA from 1 species